rnacentral:lncRNA from 1 species
GCACACUGUAGCUUUUUAUGUGACUGGCUACACAGCCCUGUCAGGACUAAGUGGGAAGAAGUAAGCUUGUUCUCAAGGGUGGUGUCCUCAGUUUGUGACCUUCCCCUACUGUCCUCUUCCAGAGGGACGUGGCCCUUCUCUCCCCUGACCAGUCCUUUCCACUAGUGCGAGGCAGGAAGAGGUGGCACCGAGUCAAAGCCCACUGUCUGUGCCAUCCCUGGCCCAGCUGGC